UACGGAGGGGGCUAGCGUGGUUCGGAAUUACUGGGCGUAAAGCGCACGUAGGCGGCUUUGUAAGUUAGAGGUGAAAGCCCGGGGCUCAACCCCGGAAUAGCCUUUAAGACUGCAUCGCUUGAACACGGGAGAGGUGAGUGGAAUUCCGAGUGUAGAGGUGAAAUUCGUAGAUAUUCGGAAGAACACCAGUGGCGAAGGCGGCUCACUGGACCGUUGUUGACGCUGAGGUGCGAAAGCGUGGGGAGCAAACAGG
rnacentral:rRNA from 1 species